rnacentral:rRNA from 1 species
GCCCCACUAGUCUGGGAUACCACUUGGAAACAGGUGCUAAUACCGGAUAAGAAAGCGGAUCGCAUGAUCAGCUUUUAAAAGGCGGCGUAAGCUGUCGCUAUGGGAUGGCCCCGCGGUGCAUUAGCUAGUUGGUAAGGUAAAGGCUUACCAAGGCGAUGAUGCAUAGCCGAGUUGAGAGACUGAUCGGCCACAUUGGGACUGAGACACGGCCCAAACUCCUACGGGAGGCAGCAGGC